UGCUCAGCAGCACAGUCCUGUUUGCUACAGUGUCUGUCUCCUUAUGGUCCCCUGGGCAUUGCAGUUUCUCAGCAGCAGCAGCAGCAGCAGCAGCAGCAGCAGGAGGAGGAGGAGGAGGAG
ensembl:miRNA Gm44375 predicted gene, 44375